GAUUAUGGCUCAGGAUGAACGCUAGCGGCAGGCUUAACACAUGCAAGUCGAGGGGCAGCGCGAUUGUAGCAAUACGAUUGGCGGCGACCGGCGCAAGGGUGCGUAACGCGUGAGCAACAUACCCGUCACAGGGGGAUAAGCGAUGGAAACGUCGUCUAAUACCGCAUAAAACUUAGGGCGGCAUCGUCCGGAGUUGAAACUUGAGAGGGUGACGGAUUGGCUCGCGAGACAUUAGCUAGUCGGCGGGGUAACGGCCCACCGAGGCUACGAUGUCUAGGGGUUCUGAGAGGAAGGUCCCCCACACUGGAACUGAGACACGGUCCAGACUCCUACGGGAGGCAGCAGUGAGGAAUAUUGGACAAUGGCCGGAAGGCUGAUCCAGCCAUGCCGCGUGCAAGGAAGACGGUCCUAUGGAUUGUAAACUGCUUUUGUACGGGAGCAAUAAGGGCUACGCGUAGUCCGAUGAGAGUACCGUACGAAUAAGCAUCGGCUAACUCCGUGCCAGCCGCUGC
rnacentral:rRNA from 1 species